CUCAAAUCUUUCAUCAAAAGAGAUUUAGGAGAAUUCAAAGGAAGGUUUUAUUAUAAUAACUAUGAGAAGUAAAAGUGUUCAUUGAUCUUAGAAGGAAAAUUAAGUUGUACAAAAACACUUUUUUUCCUAAGUCAAAUAUCAAGGCAGUGCAAGGAUUUAUAGCUAAUCUUUUAAACAGUUCAUAAUUUUGUAUUGUCAUCUUAAUCUCCUAAUUUCAUAAAGGAAAUUAUUCAUAAGGGAAAUCUGUUAUUUCAGACUUGUAGAAGUUUCCUCAAAGUGUCCUCUGAAGGCUCUAUCAAAGCAGAAAUUGUUUGACAUGUUUCAGUAUGAAAUUAUUGUACAAAGUGGACAGACUUGUGACUAGUGAACCCAAGUUAGGUUACAAACUGUGGUCCAAUGUCAUUUUGAAAAAAGAAGUAGGUUAGACAAGGCACCUCUUGGUAUGAGUAUUUAGGAAAUGAAGCAGCUUCCUCAUUCAUAAUGCUAAUGAAAAGGAAAAUCCUAGGACUUGCUUUAAACAGAUUAAUUGGCUGCUAUAUUUUAAAGCUGUUGACAGUUUGUUUUGGCACUUCAAGAAGUGCUAUAGCAUUCAUGCAUGAUAAAUUAUGAGAGAUUAGUGAUCAUUCAAUUUAGAAUGAGCUAAUGGUGUGUUUGUAUUGGAGAACUUCACUUACACAAUCAUGUUCCUGGCACUAAGUAAGCAUGCCAGACUUGGGGACCCAUGAAGUGGCCGUACAAGAACCCAGGGGGUGAACAUGGUGGUAAUGGAGGCCAUAAAGGCAUGGACUACCUUUCAUGUUUUAAUUUGUCCCAGUGCAUUUGAGGUCUAUGAGCAGAAGCUGUUCUCCAGCAUCUGCCAGACAAACCCAUGUGUUUUGUUUUGUUUGUUUGUUUUUUUAGAACAUAAAAAAUGUUGUAAAGCAUGAGAAUUUGCCCCACAGCUGGACUACAGUCUUUUCUGGGGUAAGCUUUUUCCUCAUAUUCAGGAGCAUAGAUUUGCAGAAGUUAUAUUCUCAUGUCUGUGACUUCAGACUCUAGAAGAAGUCUAGGAUAAGAAUUAGAUUAUUCUUUGAAAAUAAACUCUAUUAAGGUCAUUAUUUAAUUCCAAACCACUAUCACAAUAUAUUUGGCUUUCCCUUCCAAGAAAAUGGCAUUCAUGAAAUUUGCCAUAGCUCUCGUUCUGUACAACUAAGUCCUUUCUGUCUUCUGGGAUAGUUGUUGUAGGGAUCUUCAUCUUUGUUUUUUGGCUGGCCAGAACAAAUUCCCUUAUUAACUCACUUCUGUUCUGUUGAGGGUUUCAUUCUGUGUGGCAAAGGCAUCAGGGAGAAUCUUUUGUGUAUUCAAUAAUAUUUAUUUAGUGUCAACUAUGUGCCAGGCAUUGCUCUAGGCCUGUGUUUUCCAAUAGGAGCCCACUUGCCCCAUGUGCCUGCUGAGCCCUUGAAGUACAGCUAGUCUGAACUGAGGUUCAUGUGUCUCCUCUUCCGGUCUCGUCUCCUGGUGCUGUAAGUGCAUAGCACACUGGAUUCUACAGGGAGCAACAAACAAGAAGGUGAAAUACAUAGUACCUGGUAAGACAGAGGGUCCUCGAGGUGUGAUGCUGAGUCAUUCAAUCUCACUUUUCCUGAGCACCUACAAUGAGCUGAGCCAAGCACUGGAAGCACAGGAAUAAUUAGACAUGGUCCUUGCCCUCAAGGAGUUAUGAAUUUAGUACAAGGAGGAGCUUAUGGAUAAAGCAAGAAGGACCAACAAGUUCUAGUCAUCUAAGCUCAGUGCUCACUUCCCUAAGUGGCUGGAAGUGAACAAGAGGACAGAUGAACCUGCACUCUUCAACUACAGAAAGCAAAAGACAGACUGGAUCAGAAAGGAAGAUAGGAAGAGGCAACCUUCAUGUAAAAAGAGUCUGGAGGCAUGGAUAAGCUGCAUCAUGGAACAUAUUGUGUUUGGAGAAGCAGUACUAUAGGUUGGCCCAUCUGGUGGGAGAGCUUGUUCCUUUCUCUGGAAAACCUUGCCUGUAUGUUAUGACAUCAUUCCUUAUAAAGAAAUGUUCAUUAACUGGAUCAAUUUUUCCACUCCUUUCAACACUAGAAAACAAAACAAGUUGAAUCAUGUCAAAAG